AGCUCAGUUGGUUAGAGCGCCAGGUUGUGGUUCUGGAUGUCGUGGGUUCGACUCCCAUC
rnacentral:tRNA from 1 species